UACAGAGGGUGCUAGCGUUGUUCGGAAUCAUUGGGCGUAAAGGGUGCGUAGGUGGCUUGGUAAGUUUGAUGUGAAAGCUCAGGGCUCAACCCUGAAAUGGCAUUGAAUAUUACUGAGCUGGAGGUUUGGAGGGGGGACUGGAAUUCUCGGUGUAGCAGUGAAAUGCGUAGAUAUCGAGAGGAACACCAGUGGCGAAGGCGAGUCCCUGGACAACACCUGACACUGAGGCACGAAAGCUAGGGGAGCAAACAGG
rnacentral:rRNA from 1 species